rnacentral:rRNA from 1 species
AGUUCGUGAGGUUUUGGCCCUCUCAAAAGCCAAUUCCCCGGGGCUCAUAUUCUUAUCUGAAACCAGACAAGCCUCAAAUAAAAUGUAGCGACUCAAGUGGAGAUUACAGAAGAAGGGUUUAGUGGGGGUGUCGAGCCAGGGUCUAAGUGGAGGGCUUGCCCUUUUCUGGGACGAAAGUUUGCAAGUCACAAUUCUAGAUGCUUGUGCACGGUAUAUAGACGUGCGGAUAGUGGAUGCAGCGAAUGAAAAGUCAUGGAGGUCAACCUUUGUGUACGGGGAGCCGAGAGUGGAGAAUCGACAUCGGAUGUGGAGCUUGCUAUCUAACCUAAGGGCGUUUUCUGCCGAGCCUUGGUUAGUAUGCGGCGAUUUCAAUGAAGCUAUGUGGCAACAUGAGUAG